rnacentral:tRNA from 1 species
GAGGGUAUAGCUUAACUGGUAGAGUGCAUGCCUAGCAUGCAGGAGGCCCUGGGUUCAAUCUCCAGCACUUCCA